rnacentral:rRNA from 1 species
UACGUAGGGUGCAAGCGUUAGUCGGAAUUACUGGGCGUAAAGCGUGCGCAGGCGGUUCUAUAAGACAGAUGUGAAAUCCCCGGGCUCAACCUGGGAACUGCAUUUGUGACUGUAGAGCUGGAGUGCGGCAGAGGGGGAUGGAAUUCCGCGUGUAGCAGUGAAAUGCGUAGAUAUGCGGAGGAACACCGAUGGCGAAGGCAAUCCCCUGGGCCUGCACUGACGCUCAUGCACGAAAGCGUGGGGAGCAAACAGG